rnacentral:rRNA from 1 species
UACGGAGGGUGCAAGCGUUGCUCGGAAUUAUUGGGCGUAAAGGGUAGGUAGGUGGUCUUAUUUGUCUGGGGUGAAAUCCUUGAGCUUAACUCAAGAAGUGCCCCGGAAACGGUGAGACUAGAGUCCUGGAGAGGGUCGUGGAAUUCCCGGUGUAGCGGUGAAAUGCGUAGAGAUCGGGAGGAACACCAGAGGCGAAGGCGGCGACCUGGACAGGUACUGACACUCAACUACGAAAGCGUGGGGAGCAAACAGG